rnacentral:rRNA from 1 species
CCUACGGUGCGCAGCAGUCGAGAAUCAUUCACAAUGGGGGAAACCCUGAUGGUGCGACGCCGCGUGGGGGAAUGAAGGUCUUCGGAUUGUAAACCCCUGUCAUGUGGGAGCAAAUUAAAAAGAUAGUACCACAAGAGGAAGAGACGGCUAACUCUGUGCCAGCAGCCGCGGUAAUACAGAGGUCUCAAGCGUUGUUCGGAAUCACUGGGCGUAAAGCGUGCGUAGGCUGUUUCGUAAGUCGUGUGUGAAAGGCGCGGGCUCAACCCGCGGACGGCCCAUGAUACUGCGAGACUAGAGUAAUGGAGGGGGAACCGGAAGUCUCGGUGUAGCAGUGAAAUGCGUAGAUAUCGAGCGGAACACUCGUGGCGAAGGCGGGUUCCUGGACAUUAACUGACGCUGAGGCACGAAGGCCAGGGGAGCGAAAGGGAUUAGAUACCCCAGUAGUC